GAGCCGGGGCCAUGGAGCCGCCGCUGCCGGGCUAGGCAGGUCGUGCCCCGCCGGGCCGGCGGCGAUGUCGGGCUACCAGCGCCGCCCGGGCGCCACCCCGCUGUCCCGAGCCCGGAGCCUCGCCAUUCCCGACGCUCCAGCGUUCUAUGAGCGCCGGUCUUGUCUCCCCCAGCUAAAUUGUGAGCGCCCCCAUGGCAGGGACCUGGACUCCCCCUUCUUCGGCAUUCGGCCGGCCUUUAUGUGCUAUGUACCCAGCCCGGUGCUGGCUUCCGUGGGAGACACAGAUUUUGGCUAUGGAAAGGGGAAAUGUUCUAAGCAGAGCCCGUCAGGAGCCCACGGGACACAUUUUGGAGAUGACAGAUUUGAAGAUCUUGAAGAGGCAAAUCCAUUCUCUUUUAAAGAGUUUCUGAAGACCAAGAACCUCGGCCUGUCGAAGGAGGAUCCGGCCAGCAGAAUUUAUGCAAAGGAAGCCUCGAGGCAUUCCCUGGGACUUGACCACAACUCCCCACCCUCCCAAACCGGGGGGUAUGGCCUGGAGUAUCAGCAGCCAUUUUUCGAGGACCCGACAGGGGCCGGUGACCUCCUGGAUGAGGAGGAGGAUGAGGACACCGGAUGGAGUGGAGCCUACCUGCCGUCUGCCAUCGAGCAGACUCACCCCGAGAGGGUCCCUGCCGGCACGUCGCCCUGCAGCACAUACCUUUCCUUUUUCUCCACCCCGUCGGAGCUGGCAGGGCCUGAGUCUCUGCCCUCGUGGGCGUUGAGUGACACUGAUUCUCGCGUGUCUCCGGCCUCUCCGGCAGGGAGUCCUAGCGCAGACUUUGCGGUUCAUGGAGAGUCUCUGGGAGACAGGCACCUGCGGACGCUGCAGAUAAGUUACGACGCACUGAAAGAUGAAAAUUCUAAGCUGAGAAGAAAGCUGAAUGAGGUUCAGAGCUUCUCUGAAGCUCAAACAGAAAUGGUGAGGACACUUGAGCGGAAAUUAGAAGCAAAAAUGAUCAAGGAGGAAAGCGACUACCACGACCUGGAGUCGGUGGUUCAGCAGGUGGAGCAGAACCUGGAGCUGAUGACCAAACGGGCUGUAAAGGCAGAAAACCACGUUGUGAAACUAAAACAGGAAAUCAGUUUGCUCCAGGUAAUUAAAGGAAGGGACUUCAGUGUUUUUCUUUGAUUUGUGGAGUCACAUAAUGAAUUCAGUAAGAAAGAGGCGAAAGACUGCUGGGGUUUCCCCUGAGCCCAAGCAGAGAAAGGACUUCAAAUGAGGACAGCAGCCGCUUCCUGUCAGGGCCUGAAGCAGAGGGAGGCCCUGGAGCUCUGUUGGGAGUUUGGGGUCUGGCACGGGGCAUCCACUUGUAGGAGUCCCUGUUGCCAUAGAGCCAGGUGCUGGGCAUAUACUGGAGUGAAGGGGAAGCCAUUAGGCCCCCAGUCCCAGAGGCGAGCCCCCAGUUACGCCAGAGCACCCAUCCUGAGUGCCAGGCCCCCACAGGCGCAGGUCUCCAACUUCCAGCGAGAGAAUGAAGCCCUGCGGUGCGGCCAGGGCGCCAGCCUGACCGUGGUGAAGCAGAACGCCGACGUGGCCCUGCAGAACCUCCGGGUGGUCAUGAAUAGCGCACAGGCUUCCAUCAAGCAACUGGUUUCCGGAGCUGAGACACUGAAUCUUGUUGCCGAAAUCCUUAAAUCUAUAGACAGAAUUUCUGAAAUUAAAGACGAGGAGGAAGACUCUUGAGGACCCCUGGGUGUUCUCAGCAUGAAGCUCCGUGUAUACCCUGAGGUCACCACCGCUCGAUCUAAAUGUGCAGUUGUGUCCUUAAAUGUGCAGUCUUCACCCAGAGUAAAGUGUUGAUCGCAAGAGUCCAGUGUCGUGCCCUCAGCCAGUUCUUGGCCACCACAAUGGGAGCAGCCCUGGCCGAGUUGUCUCUGUGGUUUCUAUGCAGCCCUUCUUGGCGAAAUUCCUGCGAUCUUAUAGAUUCUAAUGAGCUCUUGGAAGACAUUGUCAUAAAAGCCAGUGAUUUUAAGAAAAAGAGUGGUUCUGGAAUCAGUGUUUUCCAGUGCCAUCCCAGAACAUCAGUUGUAAGAUAAGUACAAUUGGUUGUCCUUGAUUUCCUAAGUAGAACAAACACUAAAUGUGCCUCUGAGAUGGCCACCCUGGGCAGGGACCUGUGCCUUCCGCCGAUGCUCAGGGCUCCCUCUGGCUCCCGGGUCACUCUUGUGGCCCCAGUGGGUGGUCCCUGCAGUCAUGGCCUGAGUGUGCAGGGGCCACCGCGUGGCUGCUGCUGUCCUCCUCCGGGACCCACAGGAACCAAGGUCACACAUUCCGUGCUGUGAAGCUGUCCAGAUGUGCCUCUUUGGCUGGGGGUUCUGGUGGACGUUUCAAGUGGCAUUUUGUACAAUGCAGGUUAGAAUUCAGGAAUUUCAAGUAUGUGCCCGGGUCUGUCAGGUCCCAGCUGCCUUUCUGACGGCCCCCCUCAGAGGGACGGCGACGAGCACUAAAUGCUUUUUUGACUAUUUUCCUAUAGAUUUUUUUUAAAACUUUUUUUUCCUCCUGUUCCAAUUGAUAGUUUUCUUAUUUAAUAAAUUCUAUAGUUCACCACA